rnacentral:rRNA from 1 species
GAUGAACGCCGGCGGCGUGCCUAAUACAUGCAAGUCGAGCGAAUGGAUUAAGAGCUUGCUCUUAUGAAGUUAGCGGCGGACGGGUGAGUAACACGUGGGUAACCUGCCCAUAAGACUGGGAUAACUCCGGGAAACCGGGGCUAAUACCGGAUAACAUUUUGAACCGCAUGGUUCGAAAUUGAAAGGCGGCUUCGGCUGCCACUCAUGGAUGGACCCGCGUCGCAUUAGCUAGUUGGUGAGGUAACGGCUCACCAAGGCAACGAUGCGUAGCCGACCUGAGAGGGUGAUCGGACACGCUGGGACGGAGACACGGCCCAGACUCCUACGGGAGGCAGCAGUAGGGAAUCUUCCGCAAUGGACGAAAGUCGGACGGAGCAACGCCGCGUGAGUGAUGAAGGCUUUCGGGUCGUAAAACUCUGUUGUUAGGGAAGAACAAGUGCUAGUUGAAUAAGCUGGCACCUUGACGGUACCUAACCAGAAAGCCACGGCUAACUACGUGCCAGCCGCCGCUGUAA